AUAUCAAAAUUCUAUUCUCAGAAAGUAACUUUCUGAAAAAUUAUUUUCCAGAAAGUUAAAAGAAAAGCUCUCCCCGCGAACCAAAUGAGUCCUUGGUGCUUUCGUAUGUUUGUUUUUGUUUUUAUUUUUAUUUUUAUUUUUUUUUUGAUGAUAGAAGGAGGAGGUGAUCCACCCAUCUGAUUUAUUAGUGAAUGGUAUU
rnacentral:lncRNA from 1 species